rfam:Oryzias latipes DNA, chromosome23, strain: Hd-rR.
CAAAAGGCUUUUUUAAAAGCCAACACAACUGCUAACCUUAUUGUGU